CUGACGAGUGGCGGACGGGUGAGUAAUGUCUGGGAAACUGCCUGAUGGAGGGGGAUAACUACUGGAAACGGUGGCUAAUACCGCAUAACGUCGCAAGACCAAAGAGGGGGACCUUCGGGCCUCUUGCCAUCAGAUGUGCCCAGAUGGGAUUAGCUUGUUGGUGAGGUAACGGCUCACCAAGGCGACGAUCCCUAGCUGGUCUGAGAGGAUGACCAGCCACACUGGAACUGAGACACGGUCCAGACUCCUACGGGAGGCAGCAGUGGGGAAUAUUGCACAAUGGGCGCAAGCCUGAUGCAGCCAUGCCGCGUGUAUGAAGAAGGCCUUCGGGUUGUAAAGUACUUUCAGCGGGGAGG
rnacentral:rRNA from 3 species